UACGUAGGGACCGAGCGUUGUCCGGAAUUAUUGGGCGUAAAGGGCUCGUAGGCGGUUUGUCACGUCGGGAGUGAAAACUCGGGGGCUUAACCCCGAGCCUGCUUCCGAUACGGGCUGACUAGAGGUAUGCAGGGGAGAACGGAAUUCCUGGUGUAGCAGUGAAAUGCGCAGAUAUCAGGAGGAACACCGGUGGCGAAGGCGGUUCUCUGGGCAUUACCUGACGCUGAGGAGCGAAAGUGUGGGGAGCGAACAGG
rnacentral:rRNA from 1 species